rnacentral:misc_RNA from 1 species
AAAAGAGGAAUCCAUUGGAGCCAAAAUCCAUGUGCUCAGUUGCAGCACAGCCUCCAUCAGCUGAAGUUACAUGUGAGAGCCUGCUCAAAGCUGACGGUGCUUACUAAGUUGAGCUUCCAUAUGAUGCAGGAGAGGGUCUUCCCAUUAGAUUCCAAUAUGAAUUAGCGAAUUGGGUUUUGCCACUGUUAUUGCAUGGAUAUUGGAGAACUGGAGAGGACGAGGGGGAGUGGGGUUGUGGAUCACAAAACUUCGGGUACUAUAUAAACCUGUCGAAACCAAAUUAUUACUACCCAUAUACUAUCCAAACCUGUUCAUUAUUAUAUAUAUAUUAGUCUCAAUUUGAAUCAAUUUGGACUUAUGUCUCUUUUUCUUCACUUGUUUGGAUUAUUCAGCGUUCUGGUUGUUCGUUUAACAUGAACAUUGUUGCAGCAAAUUAGUUUCUGGAAUUCUAUUUAUGCUUUUUGUUUAUAUUCUGAUUCAUCUUAUUGUCUCUUUUAUUGGAUUAAACGGAUGAUGCAGAUGGUAUAUUGAUGUUAUGAGGGGACUGAGGGUGAUCGGAAAUAAAUGGGGGAGAGGUUGGCAGGAGAACCAGAGAGUCUAUAAAGAGAGAGGAAGGACAUAAGAGAGAGAUGGAUCAUGAAGGGAGAGAGGACAGGGAGGGAGAAGAGGAGGGAAGAGAGAAUUUUUUUUUUUUU